GACGAACGCUGGCGGCGUGCCUAGUACAUGCAAGUAGAACGCUGAAGAGAGGAGCUUACUCUUCUUGGAUGAGUUGCGAACGGGUGAGUAACGCGUAGGUAACCUGCCUUGUAGCGGGGGAUAACUAUUGGAAACGAUAGCUAAUACCGCAUAACAAUGGAUGACACAUGUCAUUUAUUUGAAAGGGGCAAUUGCUCCACUACAAGAUGGACCUGCGUUGUAUUAGCUAGUAGGUGAGGUAAUGGCUCACCUAGGCGACGAUACAUAGCCGACCUGAGAGGGUGAUCGGCCACACUGGGACUGAGACACGGCCCAGACUCCUACGGGAGGCAGCAGUAGGGAAUCAUCGGCAAUGGGGGCAACCCUGACCGAGCAACGCCGCGGGAGUGAAGAAGGGUUUCGGAUCGGAAAGCUCUGUUGUGAGUCAAGAACGGGUGUGAGAGUGGAAAGUUCACACUGUGACGGUAGCUUACCAGAAAGGGACGGCUAACUACGUG
rnacentral:rRNA from 1 species